rnacentral:rRNA from 1 species
GAUGAACGCUGACAGAAUGCUUAACACAUGCAAGUCUUUGGCGAAGCUGUGCUUGCACAGCCUAGCCAAGGCGGACGGGUGAGUAACGCGUAAGGAACUUGCCCUGCAGUCAGGGAUAACAGACGGAAACGACUGAUAAGACCUGGUAAAGUCAGGCGGACUCAUGUCCAGCCUGAUGAAAAGUGAUGCUGCAGGAGAGCCUUGCGUCCUAUUAGCUUGUUGGUGGGGUAACGGCCCACCAAGGCGAUGAUAGGUAGCCGGCCUGAGAGGGUGGACGGCCACAAGGGGACUGAGAUACGGCCCUUACUCCUACGGGAGGCAGCAGUGGGGAAUAUUGGACAACGGGGGCAACCCUGAUCCAGCAAUUCUGUGUGCACGAUGAAGGUUUUCGGAUUGUAAAGUGCUUUCAGCAGGGAAGAAAAAGAUGACGGUACCUGCAGAAGAAGCGACGGCUAAAUACGUG